UACGUAGGGGGCGAGCGUUGUACGGAUUUAUUGGGCGUAAAGAGCUCGUAGGCGGCUUGGCAAGUCGGGUGUGAAACCUCCAGGCUCAACCUGGAGACGCCACUCGAUACUGCUAUGGCUAGAGUCCGGUAGGGGACCACGGAAUUCCUGGUGUAGCGGUGAAAUGCGCAGAUAUCAGGAGGAACACCGGUGGCGAAGGCGGUGGUCUGGGCCGGCACUGACGCUGAGGAGCGAAAGCGUGGGUAGCAAACAGG
rnacentral:rRNA from 1 species